CCUACGGGAGGCAGCAGUGGGGAAUAUUGGACAAUGGGCGAAAGCCUGAUCCAGCAAUGCCGCGUGAGUGAUGAAGGCCUUAGGGUUGUAAAGCUCUUUUACCAGGGAUGAUAAUGACAGUACCUGGAGAAUAAGCUCCGGCUAACUCCGUGCCAGCAGCCGCGGUAAUACGGAGGGAGCUAGCGUUGUUCGGAAUUACUGGGCGUAAAGCGUACGUAGGCGGUUAUUCAAGUCAGAGGUGAAAGCCUGGAGCUCAACUCCAGAACUGCCUUUGAAACUAGAUAGCUAGAAUCUUGGAGAGGUGAGUGGAAUUCCGAGUGUAGAGGUGAAAUUCGUAGAUAUUCGGAAGAACACCAGUGGCGAAGGCGACUCACUGGACAAGUAUUGACGCUGAGGUACGAAAGCGUGGGGAGCAAACAGGAUUAGAUACCCUGGUAGUCCACGCCGUAAACGAUGAUAACUAAGCUGUUCGGGCUCUACGAGCUUGAGUGGCGCAGCUAACGCAUUAAGUUAUCCGCCUGGGGAGUACGGUCGCAAGAUUAAAACUCAAAAGGAAUUGACGG
rnacentral:rRNA from 1 species